rnacentral:rRNA from 1 species
ACACUCCUGCGGGAGGCAGCAGUGGGGAAUUUUGGACAAUGGGCGAAAGCCUGAUCCAGCAAUGCCGCGUGCAGGAUGAAGGCCUUCGGGUUGUAAACUGCUUUUGUACGGAACGAAAAAGCUCCUUCUAAUACAGGGGGCCCAUGACGGUACCGUAAGAAUAAGCAGCGGCUAACUACGUGCCAGCAGCCGCGGUAAUACGUAGGGUGCGAGCGUUAAUCGGAAUUACUGGGCGUAAAGCGUGCGCAGGCGGUUAUGUAAGACAGAUGUGAAAUCCCCGGGCUCAACCUGGGAACUGCAUUUGUGACUGCAUGGCUAGAGUACGGUAGAGGGGGAUGAAAUUCCGCGUGUAGCAGUGAAAUGCGUAGAUAUGCGGAGGAACACCGAUGGCGAAGGCAAUCCCCUGGACCUGUACUGACGCUCAUGCACGAAAGCGUGGGGAGCAAACAGGAUUAGAAACCCCAGUAGUCCCA